GUUUCGCUGCAGGCGGUAUACCAGGCCCUAUGGGCAAUAAUCUGAAGGAUGAUCAGUUUUCUCCUUUCUUUGGGGCUGAGGAGGAUAGAGAGGAAGAUCAGUUCUCUGUGUUAAAUGAGCAAUUUGGUCAGUAUGGUGUUCCGCCGCCAAACAAGGAAAUCCAGGUGCUAGCAGAGAAGGUCAGGGCUCUGGAAAGCCAUGCUAC
rnacentral:lncRNA from 1 species